UCUCCCUCUUAAACUCUCCUCUCUACUCGUCUCCUCGGCCGAGAAGCUUGAAAGCUCUCAUCGCCGCCGGUUGGUCACCAAACACUCCGAUCGCGAAGGGCGAACCAGUUAGAACCGACCCCGAACCGAGCCUAAACCCAACUUCUUUCUAUUUCUUACCCUUCGAAAACCAUCUCUUCAACCCUUCUCUCAGUUUCACGAUCUCUCACGCUAAAGACCAAACCCACCAUGCCGUAAAUCGGCGUUCUUGCCUCUCCGACUAUCACCAACGGUGGUCGGUCGAACUCUAAUCUAGCCCUAAAACAAAACCUAAGCUCUCUCCUUCUUCUUCUAACCCAAACCCGGGAGGAAAUGAAACUGACACAACCCCCUCUUAAGCGAGCGUCCGACGGGCCUCAACUCCUCAACUUACGGUGAACGACAUUCCUUUUUUUCGGUGAUGGACUCAAACAACUAAGAUUUUCUAAACCUAUGGAAACCCGGCCUCUCUACUGCCUCCUGUCACCGACAGCUUGGUUAUCUCCUAUAGUGACACUCGAACAGACUAGGGCUUCAUGUGGACUGGAGGCUUGGAUGAUAAUACUGUUGUUUUGGGCUGACUUGGGCUCCCAUUGAUCCAAAUUUGUAUCUUGUA